GUCGGGAGUGGACCAAUACAAGACCCGCAAGGGGAAUACGUCCGGCCUUUUCUACAUUGGGGUUUCUUAGCUCCCGACGCCUAGCU
rnacentral:ncRNA from 22 species